rnacentral:rRNA from 1 species
GUCUCAGUUCGGAUUGUAGUCUGCAACUCGACUACAUGAAGCUGGAAUCGCUAGUAAUCGCGAAUCAGAAUGUCGCGGUGAAUACGUUCCCGGGUCUUGUACACACCGCCCGUCACACCAUGGGAGUCAGCAACGCCCGAAGCCGGUGACCCAACCGAAAGGAGGGAGCCGUCGAAGGUGGGGCCGAUAACUGGGGUGAAGUCGUAACAAGGUACC